rnacentral:rRNA from 1 species
GAGUUUGGAUCAUGGCUCAGAUUGAACGCUGGCGGCAGGCCUAACACAUGCAAGUCGAGCGGUUGAAGGGAGCUUGCUCCCUGAUUCAGCGGCGGACGGGUGAGUAAUGCCUAGGAAUCUGCCUGGUAGUGGGGGACAACGUUUCGAAAGGAACGCUAAUACCGCAUACGUCCUACGGGAGAAAGCAGGGGACCUUCGGGCCUUGCGCUAUCAGAUGAGCCUAGGUCGGAUUAGCUAGUUGGUGAGGUAAUGGCUCACCAAGGCGACGAUCCGUAACUGGUCUGAGAGGAUGAUCAGUCACACUGGAACUGAGACACGGUCCAGACUCCUACGGGAGGCAGCAGUGGGGAAUAUUGGACAAUGGGCGAAAGCCUGAUCCAGCCAUGCCGCGUGUGUGAAGAAGGUCUUCGGAUUGUAAAGCACUUUAAGUUGGGAGGAAGGGCAGUAAGCGAAUACCUUGCUGUUUUGACGUUACCGACAGAAUAAGCACCGGCUAACUCUGUGCCAGCAGCCGCGGUAAUACAGAGGGUGCAAGCGUUAAUCGGAAUUACUGGGCGUAAAGCGCGCGUAGGUGGUUUGUUAAGUUGGAUGUGAAAUCCCCGGGCUCAACCUGGGAACUGCAUCCAAAACUGGCAAGCUAGAGUAGGGCAGAGGGUGGUGGAAUUUCCUGUGUAGCGGUGAAAUGCGUAGAUAUAGGAAGGAACACCAGUGGCGAAGGCGACCACCUGGGCUCAUAC